GACACUGAAGAACAUUUAAAACGUCUUUAAAAUAAAUCUUAAAAUGACUCUUUGGAUCAUUUUAAAAGUCCUUAAACACUAAAACUGAUCAAAUACGUUUUAGUAAAGUGCAAAUUUAAAACAUUUUAAUCAGUGCCUGACUGACUAUGUGACAACCGUCAUAUCAUUUUGACCACAAGGUGGCGCAGGCCUGCAGUCUGACCACCAUUCAGUCCAGUUCAGUAGCACAUUAAUCAGGUUAUGUAAGUUAUUUUACUCUGUAAUGAUUCAUUUGAUUGAUCAGAUCUAUAUGUGACUUCACACUUCAUUCACUGUCUGCGUGUUUGUUUGUGUAGAGAGGAGAUUACAGAUUACAGAUUACACAUCCGUCUCUGACUGCAGCUACGCCUGGAUAUAUAUUAAUAUUUACUUUUGAGGGGUCUCACUUUCAUUGUUCCCUUUUUUUCCGAGGCGUACAUUUUAAUGACUCGAUGCUGAGUCAUUAUCGCUCAGAAAACACAAACACCGAUGUGUUCAUAAUCCUAUUAAACAAAACUAAUCUGGCACACAUUAACAAACGGCUCCCUGCACGCCACUCAUCCCCGCUCAGCCCGUCCUUUCUCCUCCGAAGAAAGGCCUGAUUCACAGUGUUUGAGGAAAAACACAUGUAUUAUGUUCAAGUAUCUUCUGGCCUUUCAUCGGGGGGGCUGCAAAUCUGAAUGCAGCAGCUGCAGCUGAGGGAGGCCGCUGGUAUAAUGCACCCCACAGUCAAACAGACGACUGUGUUUUAUCGGCUUGUUUAGUAUAAAUCAAUGAGUGCUGCAACAAAAACACUCAAACUGAGAUAUUUGACUUUAUAAAAAUGACUCCCCUGGUAUAAAUAUUUGGGCUGGUUGGCUUCCUGCAGCGAGGAGGGGGAGAGCUCAAUUUUAAUCACCAAAUGGAUCAAUGUCUCUUUCCCUCGAAAGUUUUUAUUGCAGACAAAACUGUCCUGAGUGCAAAAUCCAAUUUGCAGGCAGGAUGUUAUAUAGCAGCUCAUGAAAGGUCAGAGUGGGUUUUACAGCUCUCUAUGCUUGCUUGCAUCUCUUAUCUAGCAGCCCAGCAGUCUAUACUCUCCUCUGCACAAACGAACCCGGGCUCGGUUAGCAGCGAAUUCAUCAUAUUAGAGAGAAACUCUCAUUCACACGAACAAAUUCAGAGCCUCCGUCUGCAGAAGAAUCAGCUAAGUGUCUUUCAAGGACAGUUAAUCACAGUCUGUCAAACUGAGCCGUUUAAGGACAACUUCAGAUGUGAUUUUUCCUCACACACACACACACACACACACACACCAGGCCUAAUCUCUCCAGUUUAACUCCUGUGACUUUGCAGGUUUAUGGAAAAGGAUUCAAGGAUAUUUCUGGAUCUAGUUUCUCUGUGGGCAGAAAAGGGGAGGGCCUCACUACUUCCACUUCUUCUUCUCUGGGUUAUUUCGAGAGCUGACCCAUUUAAACAGCCUGGAGAUGCUGCCAGCGCAGGUGCAUAUGUGAUUACAUACAUUAGAUGUCAAGAGUGAUUUGCACAUUUGAUUUGAUGGGUGGAAGUGCAAACGAUGCACGGCUUUACUUCAGUCAAACAUAAAGUGUGUUACUGCCUGUAACUAGAGCAGGACUAACCCGCCCAAGAAAAGAGCAAUUUCAUAAAACAAUGACGUGUUUUUGUUUAUUUGUUUAUUUGUUAGGAUCCCCAUUAGCCGCGCUCUGGAGCACAGCGAGUCCUCCUGAGCGCGGCUAACGGGGAUCCUUUGUUAAUGAGUUUGUAUCUGCUCAAGUGUCCUGUGUACUGGGAGGUUAAAUUCUGGACCGAAACACUAAACUAGACUGUGUGCGUGAAAAUAUUAAAGCUCCUGUGAGGAACGUUCAGCUCGUGUGUAUCUGGCGCCCCCUGUGGACAAAACAGUCUCAGAAAAUCUCAUCCUGUCGACUUUUGAUGAUCAAAAACAUCAUUUAUUUGAAAACUAGGGGUGUCCCGAUAAAACUUUUUCACUUCGAUAAGAUACCAAUAUUGUAGCCAUCAGUAUCGUCCGAUACCGAUAUUGAUCAGGUAGCGUCUUCCUCACCUCAGAUCUCAGUGCCCAGUCAUGUCUCCUCACCAUCAGCUGCUAACUGUGUAGAUGCGUAUGUAUGUGAAGUUGUGUGUGUGGAAUUGUAUGUCUAUGUUCACGGGUGUGUGUAUGGGUAUAAUUGUGCGGGUGGGAGGUUUGGGGUUUUCUUUGGGAUUUUAAUGUUUCAUUUUGUUUUUAUGCUUUGUAAGGCACUUUGUGUCACAACUUGUAGGAAAAGUGCCAUAUAAAUAAAAUAAAGUUGAAGUUGAAGUUGAUCAGAUCUGCCUCUGAAAAAGCAAAUUUUAGGGCAGGUCGGGCCCGGUGACCUUGCAAAAAUCGUAAUGUUGACCCAAAAGAAAGCGUAAAAAAAUGGCUCGAUGGCGCCCCCUACAGAGCGCCAUGAAUGUCGACUUUUUCCGAUCUGCCCGAAAUUUUACAGGCACGUGUAUUUUAACGAGAUCUUUGAUUUUGCGCAUUUGGACUUUUUUCUCAGGCGCACGGUUAAAGAGUUAUUACGCUGUUUUUGGCCCAUUUUGGCCAUUUGCAUAAAUCACGCCAAACACUCUUUGUUGGAGCUUUGAGACAGAUCUGGACCCCGGCGGCCGGGUUAAUGGCAGCGCUGCUGGUUUGUUUCAGUGGAAUAAAAAAGUGUUUUCAGUCGUUCCUUUAGAAUCACAAAGAAACAUCAGUAGGCCGUUCAGAUGUUGAUUCAGCACUCACAUGGAGAUCUCUGAAUGGGAAACUGUCACAGCUAUUAUACACGAGCCACAACUCUGCACAAUUAGUACAACUCAGUACUGCUUUGCAUUGUGCUGCUGCGGGCUGGAGAGCAGAGAGAGAUCCAUAUUUAGAAGGACCUCAUUGAUUCUUCCUCAGCGUGGCACAAAAGGUUUGUUGUGCGUCCAGUCUUGAAUAGCCGGGCCUUUAAUGACAGGCCCGCUCUCUCAGACCCCCCGCCGCUCUCACUCGCUGUUUGAAAACCUGAUGAAACCGAGCCGAGCGGUUUGCUCUGACUGUAAUAUUCCUGCAGCGCUCUGUUCCUGUGCGGUUAUGUAACUGUAUCAGUGUGACAAUACUCGGCCACAAAUACUUCACACCAUCACCACCAGGAGAACGGGGAAGAAAGAGCAGGCGGCGAGAGGCCGAUUGUAAACGUGGUUCCUCCCUGACAAACCUGAACGCAUGACUGAGUGAUUCCUGAGCCAAGAUGGCAGCUGAUGAGGGAUGAGAGAGAGAGAGGAGUGUGUACAGUAAAGAUUUAAUUAAAACUCACCACGGGAUGUCUUACAGCCACUCCAGAGACAGCAGAGAGGAGUUGGUGUUUGCCUGCUGCAGCUGUGAAUAAUAUCCUCUGUUCUUACUAUGACCUACAUGGAGCCCACAGAGAGAGAGAGAGAGAGAGCACACGUGAGCGCAGGUCUUAUUUCCACCACCAUGAGGCCGCCUCAGGCCUUCUCCUUAUGUCAAACCUUAUGUUAACUUCAUCUCCACCAGGGUUUGACCCCUUCAUCUGGAGCAGGAGAGACUCCCUGAGAGCUGCUCGGUUUCUCUGCUGGGUUCGGUUCCUCCUGAUGCUCCUGCAGAAACAUCUUCACCUCCGUCCGUCCUCCUCCUCUCCUGACGUAGAUUUUGACCGUCUCCCAUCAGCACUUUACUCCGCUCCCUUUGAAAUCAAUUCAGCCUCUUUUGCUCCUACUCACUGUGCGUUACCAUGGAUACCGCUCCCAAAUGGUUUGGCUCGCACAUGAAUUUGUUUAUGAGUGUUACUUGGAGUGAACUGGAAUGUUCUUUUUUUCUGCAGCCAAAGUCAAGAUAAUUUGCUAAAUAAGCAGAGGAAGGAACGAAUCAAACGAGGAUUUUGUUCUAUUUUAUUUCCUCUCUCAGAGAUGUAGGCCACCUCUGCAGGGAGCCAUCAGAAAAUCUCCACUAUUGCACACCUUUACAACAUGCAGCUUCAGCUGAGAGGGAGAAAAAAAACACAGUUUUCUAAUAAGGAAAAGCCCAACAGUCCUCUGAGUUUAAUCUAGUCUGAUCCUCCAGGAAUCAAAGUGUUGCUCUUCAGUUUCCCCAUCGAGCCAAAAGCGUCCAAAUACUUCACUUGGCCGCUCCUAAAUCCUCACAACCCCCUAUAGGAACUGUCAGGACCGUAAACCACGUCUGAGGAGGAGAAAGUUGCAGAAGGAAGGGAUUGAGCGCUUUAAUUCGUAGAGGACUUAAUCAGGGUUCAUUUGGGAUUAAGGGAAGACUGGGUCCAUCUCCUUUGGACUCUCUGGUUCACCGAUGAAGCUCCAAACUCCCAGAUGAUUCAGGGCAUCUGAAUAUUUCAUACAGGUCAUGUAAAGGUCCUACAGGAGCUCAAGGAAACACCCACAUUCAGACAGAGGUCUGUCUAAGAGCUCUACAUCGGGCUGAGUGAAAUAUUCACAGAUUGAGGGAAACAUCCUCGGCUCCCCUCCCCGGGGGUUUCUUCAGAAACAGAAGAAACGCUGAAAUGUCUUUUUCUUUCUUCCCUCUGAAUGCGCGCUCCUCGUUUCCUCUCACAUAUAUUUGACUGUCCAGAACAACUGAGGCUGAGUUGCUUUGUAACAGGCUGCCACACUUGCUAUUUUUGGGCCGGACUUUGUAAGCAGUGGCCUUGGCUGUGUGUUCAUCCCCGCAUCUCUUAUGUAAUCCCCUCGGAUGGGAAGAGUGAAAAAGCAGAGAAAGUUUGCCGAGACUCUCCUCAUCUAAUAUGGAGUUAAUUGGAGACAGCUGAGGGCUUGUUUACUGAGCCAGCGUGAGUGUAGGAACAAAGCAGAGCGUCCGGAUCCUUCCUUAUGGCUCAUUAUGGCUGACAUAUCAGAGCAGCGUGAUGGUUUGUUGAAACGGCGUUUCUCUCUGAAUGUUGGUACUUUGUGGUUGCAGGAGCCGGAUUGAUUCCUGUCAGAGGGGCCUCUAAUCAACACAGAGCCAUUGAUUUCCUCUCCACAGAGCCUAUACGAGGUGCCUGAGACACCUGCUAGCAGCCAGCUGACAGACACGCAUGCCUGCUCACCAACAGCUGACACAAACCGAUGCCAAUGCACCGAGCUGCUGAAGAGGGUGAGUCACACACGCUCGGUUAGAUCCCACUCUCAUCUCAGGGAGGGAUGCAGCACAAUGUGAGAUCCACUGUACUGUCGGUCUGAAUCAUGUCUCGUACACGUGGUGUGUCACACAGAUGGAGCUCCGGUGAGCUGGAGGGGUCGCUAACUGAGUAAAGAUAAUAAAGAGUGGUGAUGAUCAGCUGUUCAGCUCCAGUAACAACAAUGUGCUCUGUCAAAGCUGAGGAUCAUCGCCAUCUUCAGCUCCAUCAGCACGCUCUCGCUCUGUGGUGAUUUCUAUCUGCCUUCAGAGUGCCUCAGUAAGCACUUUUCUUCCUCCUCCAGCAGCAGCAGCAGCAGUCACAUGCUCCGCCGGGCCCUGCCAAGGCUCACAGCCAGCUGUCCCCAUCAUCAAUUCAGACAAUGCAGGAGGCUGAGGGAGGUGAGACUGACUCUGGGGCAGAUGUGUGAGGCACAGAAUGAAACCCAACGCUAACCUUGGAGGAGCAAAGACGACAAGGAGGCGAGAAAACAAGAAGUCAGAGGAAGAACUCAAAAACGCUGACUGGCUGAAAAAGGACGUUCAAUCUAAUCAUCAAUCGAUCAAAUUUAUUUAUACAGUAUCAAUUCACAACAGUUUUUAUCUCAGGACACUUUCCAAAAAAAGAGCAGGUCUAGACCACGCUCAUUGUUUGAUGAAUUACCAAGACCGAACCUUAAAGGGAUAUUUCAGCAUAAAAUUAGUUUAAGGUCAAACCCACCAUAACACUGAGUU